CAGCAGACACAUUCCAGCCAAUCAGCAGCAGACCCUCCCUCCCAGACCCUAUUACCUCCUGGACAGCAUCCAUUGUGAAGCUGCAUUCUUAGUGAGCUGUCCAGGAGGUGGGAGGGUCUGGGAGGGAGGGUCUGAUGCUGAUUGGCUGGAAUGUGUCUGCUG